rnacentral:misc_RNA from 1 species
GUUGAAGACACUCUUUGUGGUGUAAUAGUUGUAAUAUUGAAUUUAUUAAGUUAUGUCUAGAGGAGAAUGAAAGGACUAACUAAUAUAUUUAAUAUGAGCAGUUAUAUAGUGUGGUUCUCUUAAAUGUAAUUAGGUUAAUGAGUAGUGUAGUUUAAGUUUGUAAUUGAUGAUUUAUCAUUAUUGAUAGUGGAAGAUGAUAUGUCCGUAGAUGUAGCCUUAUGUUGAGAGGGUAAAUCACGUAAAUAUUGGUAUUUUAUAUACUUGCUUUAUUUUUUUGCAGUUUACACGCUUCCGUGAUGCACAACAUUUACUUUGGUGUUGGUCAAUAUCUAAGCAUUCUUAACAUUCUACAAAAACCCUUGGUAACAUUUGGAUUUUCUGUGAAGAUUAUGGUGUUUGUUGUUUCUGUUGGAUAGUGAGGAAUAUCUUAGUGCCCUUGGGCGAGUCAUUAGUGCAUUGUCAUAUGUAUAUGGUUUGUCCAUAUCUGUAGAAAAGACAUUGAUCCAAAGAAAAGAGACAAAUAAUAAAUUUUAAUAUCGUACUAUAUAAGAAAUUAGUUAUCUUCACAUUGGAGCAGAGUCAACAUUGGUCCGUAUUUUGAAAAUUAUCAUGAUGUUUUGAGGGA